rnacentral:rRNA from 1 species
UACGUAGGGUGCGAGCGUUAAUCGGAAUUACUGGGCGUAAAGCGUGCGCAGGCGGUUUUGUAAGCCAGAUGUGAAAUCCCCGGGCUUAACCUGGGAAUGGCAUUUGGGACUGCAAGGCUUGAGUGCGGCAGAGGAGACUGGAAUUCCUGGUGUAGCAGUGAAAUGCGUAGAUAUCAGGAGGAACACCGACGGCGUAGGCAGCGCCCUGGCUGAAUAAAGCUGACACUGAGGCACGAAAGCUGGGGGAGCAAACAGG